GGUGGACUCCUGCGCCGAGCUCUUCUCAAGGACCAGGACGACUUUACCAUGUUCCUCCAGGCGGACAGUGUUGGCCUCGACAUCCUGCAGUUAAAUUCAGGAAGUGGCAGUUGUCUUCUCUUAGGAUGAUUGUGGCAGAACGAGGGGCGUCGUUCACCAAGGCCAACUGCCCAAAGUCGUCUCCCUCAUGAAGCGUGGUCACCAAGCCCUGUGUGACGCACAUACACAAAAUCAUCUUUCCUUAAGUGGAACAGUAUGAAUUUCCUUCAAACAAUGCCUGGAUUACGCUCCAUCAGAGUGCUGUAAACCACCCGCGCAGCCUUCAAGAUUCGGUCGGACAAAAACUGACAGAGAGAAACAGUAAAAAAGCUCUGCUGGACCCCCCGCAGAUGGCGCAUCCCGCUCCAACUCCCAAACAGACUGAGAAAACUGGAGUGUAAGAACUCAACCUCAUUGAUCGAGGCCACAGUUUACUGAACUACUGAAGCAUGCCAUCGUUGUUGCUACGCAGCCUUCGUUUUUUUCUGCACGCCUGCCAAGACCAACUCACUGAUCACAUGGUGAUAAAACUGGUUCGGCACAUUGACACUCUGUAAAAAACUGUUGAAGUGGAGACAAACGAGUAGGGAUGGCAAGCUUUGCUUUAGAAGUGAGAUAUUGAAGAUUUUCCUGCUAAAAAGGCAAGUUUCAAGCUGGUUUGCACCAACGAAAGGAAGCUUGAGUGAUUGAAGUGGUUUUAGUAGAGAUCACACA